rnacentral:rRNA from 1 species
UACGUAGGGGGCUAGCGUUGUCCGGAAUCAUUGGGCGUAAAGCGCGCGUAGGCGGCCAGAUAAGUCCGGUGUGAAAGUCACAGGCUCAACCUGUGAAUGCCGCUGGAAACUGUCUGGCUAGAGUCCGGAAGGGGCGAGUGGAAUUCCUGGUGUAGCGGUGAAAUGCGCAGAUAUCAGGAGGAACACCGGUGGCGAAGGCGGUUCUCUGGGAAUGACCUGACGCUGAGGAGCGAAAGUGUGGGGAGCGAACAGG